CGGAAUGCGCCAUCUAGUGACGGAUAGUGGAAAAAAUAGGUAAAUGGCGGAUCGUCUGUAAUACUUUAUUUCACCGUAAUAAUUUUGGAUUAAACAAACAUUUUGAAUCGUCAGCAAUGGCUUUAUCACGAAGAGAUCUGGAUGAUCUAAAACCUUGGAUAGAUCGCACUGUUCAAAAAUUUCUUGGUUUUCGAGAACAAACUCUCGUAACUGCUGCACUGAAUUGUUUAUCUUCUGGAUAUGACAAGAGAAAAACUACAGAUAAAUUAUCACAAUUAUUGGAAGAAUCAAAAGCAUCAAAAUUGGCCGAUCAGUUAUUUGCUACAAUAGAUGACUUGAAAAUUAAAAACAGGAGUAAAAGAAAAACAAAAGAAGAAACUGAAAAUAUUGAAUUUAAGAAAGCAAAAUUUUCUGAUGAAGCUACAACAGCAAUACCAUCUCCUGGACAGCCAAGUCCAGGCCAGCUCACUGCUCUUCAGAUUAAAGAAAUGAUGGCAAAUGCACAAAGAUUAAUUGAAGAAAGAAAAAAGGCAUUAAGUCUGAAGUUUGGUGAUCACAAAGGAAGUGUUCAUGACUUUAGUAUGCUCUCUAUGGGAGACCUUACAGCUGAAAUUGGUGGUAAAUCAAGUUUAACAGAGAAUAAAGCAAGAAUAGCAGAACUGACAGCACAGAUACAAGCCAGAUUAGCCAAUCGUCAGAUACUUUUUACUGCAGAUCCAAAUCAAUUGAAGGCAUAUGACAAAUCAAAGCCAACGCCUCUCAUUUUAAAUGCUGAGGGACGAACUGUUGAUUUGAGUGGCAAAGAAGUUCAAUUAACACAUAGAGUUCCAACUUUGAAAGCUAACAUUAGAGCUCAAAGACGAGAACAGUUCAAGUUAAAUCAAGAAAAAGUAUCUGACGAUAUAUCUGAUCAGAAGUUUUUUGAUCCUCGAGUAAGUACCAAAAUUUAUCAGCGAAAUAAGAGAUCGUUUCGGUUCUACGAAAAAGGGAAGUUUGAACAACAGGCACAGAGAUUGAGGACAAAGUGUCAGUUAGAACGACUGCAACAAGAAAUUGCCCAAGCUGCUAAAAAGACUGGAAUUUCUUCAGCUACGAAAUUAGCUCUUGUCACACCCAAGAAAGAAUAUAGUUUUAAGAAAUUGUCUUCAAUGGCAGGGCCUAUUCUUAUAUGAAGAAAGAGGGGGAAGUUCCCGAGAUUGAAUGGUGGGACUCGUUCAUCAUGAAAGGGGAGAGGUAAGAUACGGUGUGCUUCAGGCACCCCCUCCGAGGCAAACCGACGUCAGACACGCCCGGCAGUCGACUUAGAAUUAAAUUGAUAUUUGCUUUAUACAUAGUUUAGAUAAAAUUAUCUUUUCAAUAACUUCUAAAUGGACUAGUUAAUUUAAUUGAAAUCAAAUAGACAUCUAUGUGUUUUUAUAAUUUUAUUGCAUAACUUUGAUACUGAUUACAGUCUUCAUGAUUGCAAUUUUAAUAUGUAUAUGUCAAAAAAUUUAAAUUUUUAUCUGUAUUAUUCAAAUUGUAAUGUAGUUUUUUUCCUAUUACCCUUUACAAGAAAAACCUGUUUAGAGAAGUAAACAAAUUUACUAAACAAUGAAAGAAGAACUCUUUAUUAUUCAUACUAAAGAACAAACCAUUAUUUAAGGAGCCAACUCUCUUAUUUUGUCAAAACAUUUUUAGAAAGCCUUAACUUCUAUUCUUCAGUUGCUUAUAUUGUUUGAAAUAACAAAGAUAUUUGGUGUAGAUUGCCAAAGACGGGAAGGUAAAGACCUUAUUUUUGGUGAUCUUCACAAUGUUUCAUUAAAAAUUUGAUAUCCCAAAAACAUUUUGAUAAAAUAAGGGUCGACUUCUUAAAUAACAGUUUUUUUUUUUUGUCAAUGUGUUUUUAAACAAAUUUAUUUUUAAUUAUUAGGCUAAUAAAUAUAAAUUACAGAUGAAAAUUCAAAUAAACGAACAGAUAUUUAUCAUUAAUUUGAUUAUAAUUUUCAAGAAAUUAAAACAUUUCAUGCAAGACUUGAGUAUCUAGUUUUGCAAAUUAUUUUUUUGGAAUUUAUUUUUUUAUAUUGAAUGUCUCUGUAAUUUUACAAGCUGUAUAAAAGUUAUCACUUUCUAUUUUAAAGUAUGAAAUGUUAAGAGUUUUGGAUAAUUAUAGAAAUUAUUUGUACAAAAUUCUCGGAUUUAAAACAUUAGAAUUUUUGAGAAAACUUUGAUUGACUUUUAUACUGGUUGUUUUAAUUAGUAUUUUAAUUAAAUUUGUUCAAAACCUAAUUUAUUGGAUGGAGUAUUUUGAUUAUUUCAGUUAUGACAAAGUUACAACAGGUAGUGAAUUAGAAGAAGAACACUUUGAAGGUGUAACCAGUUUGGUGGAACAUCCAACACAAAUGAAAGCUCCAACUGAUCCUUUAAAACCGUCGUUUCUUCCCGUCUACUUA
rnacentral:misc_RNA from 1 species